ACAGGGCCCUCAUGUAUUGUCGUUGGCUCAGAAAAAUCCAGACAACAAUCCUACGGAUAAAAAGCCCGACAAGAAGGACAAGGAUGAUGAAGAGAAUAAACGCCGCCAGAAGGUCCAAUUCCUGGUAAAUGCUGCAGUGCGAGAGAUGAUGUGGUUUUUCCUUGAGGUGUUCAUCGUCUACAGAUUGGGCCUAUUCGUCAAGAACUUACCCAAGUAACCGCACACAGGGCGCGCCAAGCACACAUCGCAGCUUGAUCUCCUACUCGCCCGCAAAAGCCAGGAUUUCGCUUCUAAAUAACAAAUUCAAGA